CAGAAUAGGAGUGGUUUUCAGUUGUUCUUUUACUUUUGUUUUUUUUGUUUUUCUCUUUGCUCUGUCGCACUGCACUACAUUAAUAACACCUACAUGUCCAAGUUUCAUUUUGUUCAUCCACGAUUCGAGGGGGUCACCUCCGAGUAUUGGCGUCAUCACUCAGUGUUUAAUCAACAGGUAUUAGGUGAAUCACGAGGACAAAGGAUGUCAUAUUGACGAGGACAGUCGCCUCUCUCGUUAAUCAACACACGGGGUGUUGUCCACCCUCUGUCCCUUUACAAAUAACAUUAUCAUAUUUCUUUGAGGAAAGACUGGUCGACAGCUGGUGAUAAUUGACCGGUGUGCUGCCUAUUCCUCACGGAGGCGUUGACUUCACAGCAAUCAUAUUUGUUAUGGAGAGAAGUGUCAGGGGGGUGAAAGCAUAACAUGAUCUGUGUGCGCGACCGUUAACAUCUCCUGAAACAGAUGAACCUUUUCAUGACCUGUUCCCAUGGAGAGAGGGAAACUGAUGGAACAACAUUACAGGAUUUAUCCCUUCCUGACCCCAGAAAGGGAAGAAGAAACACUAGACAGCUGUGAUUUUAUCUUUUCCCAGAGUUGUGACGUUCUUCUUUUUCUUCUUGCACCAAAUGCUUUUCUAUUGUAGAAAAUACAGAACCUUUAAAGGACAAGAUAGUAUCGCUUCUCUUUUUUUUCUCUAACUUCUGGCUUUAGGACCUUUAAAACGUGGAGAAAGGAGCCUCAGGGGAUUAGGGCAGAUCAUGCUCCAGAUUUGAGCCUCAGAAAACCUGCUUUCUUACAGAUGGCAUCAUGUAAUAUCCUCUGUUUAUUGACCUUGACUUUUAAAUUGUUUUUGUGUGUUAGUUUCAUCAAUUUUUACAGCUAUUACUAUUUUUAACUGUUCCUUUCUUUUGUCUUUGUCGUUUUUCAUACCA